rnacentral:rRNA from 1 species
AUUGAACGCUGGCGGCAGGCCUAACACAUGCAAGUCGAGCGGAUGAAGGGAGCUUGCUCCUGGAUUCAGCGGCGGACGGGUGAGUAAUGCCUAGGAAUCUGCCUGGUAGUGGGGGAUAACGUCCGGAAACGGGCGCUAAUACCGCAUACGUCCUGAGGGAGAAAGUGGGGGAUCUUCGGACCUCACGCUAUCAGAUGAGCCUAGGUCGGAUUAGCUAGUUGGUGGUGUAAAGGCCUACCAAGGCGACGAUCCGUAACUGGUCUGAGAGGAUGAUCAGUCAGACUGGAACUGAGACACGGUCCAGACUCCUGCGGGAGGCAGCAGUGGGGAAUAUUGGACAAUGGGCGAAAGCCUGAUCCAGCCAUGCCGCGUGUGUGAAGAAGGUCUUCGGAUUGUAAAGCACUUUAAGUUGGGAGGAAGGGCAGUAAGUUAAUACCUUGCUGUUUUGACGGUACCAACAGAAUAAGCACCGGCUAACUUCGUG